GCGCCUUCCCCUUUAAGUACAGGGGAAGGCUGGAUCUGACCUGCAGCGGGCGGUGGGAGACCGCCCCCCUGCCGGUGAUCAGCCCCGCGAGGCACGUUUCCACCAGGGCGGUGCACGGCGACCAGCUCCAGGACGGCUGGGAAGGCCUGGUGGGGAAGGCCGGUCUUGGAGUUGGCAGAGCGUGUUUCACAUGGAAGUACAGCCUGAGACUCAAACAUCAGUCAUCGGUGCUUUUGUGACCUCAUUCAGGAGGUUUGGUUCAAGUUGGUGACAUGGGAGACUCCUGAACUCACAUCUCCUCAUGGACACGCCAAAUAUACAGCUACAUAUGGGGCAAAUCCCUCUGAAAGAAACCCAGGAACUAGCCGAGUGACUUCUACACAUCAGGUGAAAAAACCCACAUCAAAGCAAGUCUUGGCAUACUCUCACCAAUUGGGAGCCUCAGAACAAAGAAGCAGUUUGGAUCAUCACGAAGGUGUGAGGGGCAGCCAAGAGCCGAGGCCCAGCUGAAUGAGAAAGCUCUCGUCUCCAUUCUGGUCAAGCCUAUGAGAGUUUUUACCAACACAGAGAGUCAAGGAAAAUGAACACAAAGAAACAAACCAAAACAGAGGAAUAUGUUUCAAACAAAAGAACAAGAUAAAAUUCCAGAAAUAGACCUUCGCAAAAGAGAGACGUGGUUGACCUGAUAGACCUCAUCUACGUCUCCACAUUCAUUCAGUUGGCCAUUCCCAAUCUCCCAGUUUCAAGAUGCAGAGUAAGUGGAAUUAACUUUGUGUAGCUCAAUUGUAUAACUCAGGACAACCAGGUUCAAUUGCAGAUAGUGUCCAUAUUUCGACAGUAGUCACGGAAGGAGGUCAGAGUCUCUGGGUCAUGUUUGCUGGAUGAUGCCUAGGACAGUCCUGUUACCUUGAUGCACAAUGUCAACUUCGUAGAUCCAAGUCACAUGGAUACAAGUCACAUGGAUACAAAUCACAUGAACCACGACUACACAUGUGGUUCAGCUACUUCCACAAUCCCCACAACGAUUAAGGGUAUCUCUGGAAACACCUACCACCUCCCUGUAACUUCCUCUCUGUGUGGCUUUCAUCAAUACUUAAGGAAAUCUGGGUGCAGUCAAAUGUCCUAGAAGAGAUAUUUGGUAUUUGGAAUUUCCAGCAGGUUUAUUUGCUGGAGAGAAGUUCUCCAUAACUACUGAGCUGUUUUCAUGGUGCCAGAAUCUCCUACCAUUUGGCAGGAGCUUAGCAAUUCCCUAGGAAGCAAAUGGUCCUCAGAGCCAGGCCUUCUUGGGUACUUGGAGCAGCUGAAUAUUGGCUGAGCUUACUCCAUGCCAGAGACUGUGCUGAGCCUUCAUGUGCAUUGUUCUGUAUAUUCCCCACAAUACCUCUGCCAUGGAGUUACCAUUACUGUUUCCAUUUAACAGAAAAAAAAAAGUUUAAAGAGGUUGAAA